ACAUUUCCCCAGAGAGAUAUUGGUAGAAAUGGCCCUCGUUAUUCCUUUAGAGUGUUUCUGACCACCACAUUUUGUUCUUUUUGAUAUAACAGUAUGCUAAAUGCCCAGAUGGUUCCUGCUGACAGUGGUGCUGCUGGUAGAUUACUGCUGCCCAUCCAUUCUCCAGGCACUGCACACCCAGGGCCACUGGGAACAGCAAGGCUGUGAGACCACCAGGUCCUUCUGCUGCCAUCAUCAUUGCACCUCUCCUGCUCAUGCUGCACCUGGUUUCCUUAAGCUCACCGAAGAAAAGCCACCGACUGUUCCUGGGGAGAUGCCAGCUUUGUGUGGCUGCUGGGACGCCUUCUGCCAGGGGUGCAUCACACCUUCCUGUUGUCUUAUCCUUCUGGCACCUGGACUUUGGUUUCAGGGCUGGGCUGAAGCCUGGGAGCUGCUGCACCCGUCUGCUGCCACACGCGGUAGGAAGCAUCACCUCCUGAGCUGCACUUUGGGGAAUUCACCACUGAAGAUGUGUCUCUGGUGCUCGGAGUGCCACUAAACCCCCUUCCCACCCCUGGAAGGACAGACAGACAGACAGCAGUGCAUUUCAGCAGGCAGAACUGCAGCUGCACGGCUCCUCCUGCAGCCUCAGCGCGGGGUUGGUGGGGUGCUGGGAGCUGCUGCCCUCAGUAAGCGGGAUGGGAAGAGGAGGUGACACAUCACCGUGCUGUGACUCAGGAGAAAGGCCGAGCCCUGAGGGCCUGGAAAGAGUUAAUGAAGGAAAAGCUUGUCUGGCCAAGGGGCUGGUGUGGCUCCAGGAGAGCCGUGACUCAGAGAUGGAGCAUCCUGCCAGAGCACCGAGCUCCUCAUCCUCAGCUCCUCCUCUCCCAGCACAGCGAUGUGAAUGUGUUCAGCAUCGUGGCUGAGGGUUUGUCCCAUACAGCACCUGCUCUUCCCACUCAGCUCCACACUCUUGGCUUGCGUAAGAAACUCCUUACCUCAUAGUCUGUGGGUAGGACCUGGCACAUCUGGCUGUAUCGUGUCGGUCAGCGGUGCACAGCCCUUGGUCAUCUCAUUGAGGCUCUCUACAGGACAGGAGAAGGUUAACAGGAUGAUUUACAAGAGUAAGGAAAAGGACAGGAACAGAUGGACUGGGUGAGUUAUUCAAAGGUUUGACCAGAGUGUGACCAGCUUGCGCUCAAAAUGAAGCGUGGAGCAACGAGAUUUGGUGGCAGUGUCACAAACAGCCCGUGCUCAACGACACACAAUCCUCUGUCCCAGGGGCAUGUUAAUAGUUCUGUAUAAAAUGGAUGUUUUCCUUCUCCUCAGCUCAUUGCCCCCUGCCCAAUGACCAAUGAGGGAUCCCACGAAGCACCGACAUGAAGGCAGCAGCGAUGCAGCAGAGCAGGGUAGGAUGUGUGGUCCUGGCAAUAAGUGGAAUUACACCGCUUUGAACCCAGUCUGGCAGAGCAUAAACAUAUGGAUUAGCACCAACGCAACAGAUCAAAACCCAAGGAGGAGGGCUCAAACAAGUCGUAAUUUGUAACAACAACAAAACUGCAGGGUUUCAUCACUUCAGCUCCCAACCCUCACACCUCAACCUCGCCGCAAGGAAAACAGCUGCCUCCCUUUUCUCUCACAUCUGUCCUAAAUAUCCCGUUGGGGCAGCCAGCCUGGGAAGCACUGCCUGUUGGGUGGAACACCGCUGUCUGGAGCUGUGCGUUGUCAGAGCAAUCACUGUGGGGUGUGGACAAGAAAAGGACACACUGUUCAAUGCCGGAUCUGUUUGGAGAGUAGAAAACUGUUCCCGUGCAACCCUUCUUUUGCAGCAGCCAGGCUGCAGGGUGCUGCAUGCACAGAGCUGCAGGUCCAGCUGCGAGUGCCCCAACACUGCUGUGCUGUUUGGCUGCAGCUGCUGCUGCAACAGAGGUGACUGCAGAUCGACAAGGCAGGGCGACAGCACAACUGUAGGCACCUUCAUCUGCUGCAUGCAUAAUCCUUGGUGCUGAACCCUCUCCAAACUCAUCCCCAGGUCUUAUCUUUUCUAAACUGGGUAUUUAUUCAUGUGGUUGUUUUAUGUAAACUGCAAAGAGCCUCAUUAAAUGGAAACCUUCCCUCGUGAGCUUCAUUAUUAAGGUGGAAUGGCACUCGGAACGCGCUGAGCAAAAUCCAUGAGCUUUGGUGUUACUUGGGGAAGGAAUGCUCAAUGCUGGCAGCCCGGGGCUGAGCCCACCUGUCACCCCCAUUCAGGAGCAUGCUCUGCUCUGGGAUGAGGCACUGCAAUGGGCACUGUGUGCAGGAAGCUCCCAGGAGAAACCCUGAAGAACAGAAUGGGGACCUGGGACCUGCCCUGCCCCAGCAGUCCAGCGCUGGGCCCUUUGGAUUCUGGAGAAGGAUGGAGCAGCAGUGAGGCUGACCUGGGCUGCAGCUCCAAGCUUGGGGCUGGCUGACAUGGAGCUGUGGAAGGGGAUGAGGUUUUGCAGCCAAAACUUCCCAUUGCUGGAAUGCUGGCCAGGUAAAUCCCAGUGUUUUUGUGGAUCCCUGUUCUCAUUUGUGUUACAAAUGCUCAUGGCAGAAUUGACAGCAGAAGACACACACACAUGGUUAUGGAUGCAUGCAUCAAUCUGAGGCUGGAAAUGAAUUGGGUUGCAUUUAUUUUCCCUUCCUUAACCCAACUGAACUCAAUCCUGCUUUCCCAGGACUGAACACCAAUAGGAACCACUGCAGACAAGUUGUUUCCUUUUGGUAGAAGUCACACUUGAUGAAGCAGUGUGAUUUUUGGGGAACAGGCUGAGAGAGCAGAGAGGGACUGGAUGCUCUGGCAGCGCCCCAUGCAUGCUGAGCCCUCUGCUGUGGUCACCCCAGUGCCCCAGUGGGAGCCGUGCAUUGCCUCUGCUGUGUCUGGUGCCUCUCAGCCCCCCCAUGCAUCUCCAGCUGAAGGACUUGAGAGCUGAUAGAGCUUUUUAAAGUGGGGAUUAUGUAAAUGCAUAUUAUGGCGCUUUCAUAAACAGGGAUUAUUUGUCGAAUGCUUUCGAGUGCUUCCUUCGCAGCGAUUAAGGUCUGUUGUGUAAAUAGGAAUUUAGUGGCUGCUUAGCCUAAGUUCCAUUGGUUCAAUAAAAGAUGAGAGCAGCACUUUUUUUGCAUUCAUCUUGGCCUCGUGAGAACAUCUUUGGGGCACUUCUCAGAUAAUUACAUGAACAUCUACACCUACUGUCCACUGCAGGCAGCAUACCUUGCAUGUCCAUAUCGACCAUUCUCCAUUUCCCUUCCUUGCUACUUUUGUGAUUAAAUCCGUUGUCUCAGCUGCUAUUCUGUUGGUUAUCUCCCCCCAAGUUAACAAGUCUGAAAGUGUGGACGAGCAAAGCAAAAUGAGUAUUUUGCCCUCAAAUGCCAAAAGACAGAGAGGUCCAACACGUUGUACCGUGCAUUAUCCGUGCUGUAGUCGGGCAGUGCGGUGCUAUCAGUCACACAGGGAAUGAAUCCCAUCAAACAGCACCCAUGGGGCUGUUCAUUCCUGGAAGUGGGAACAGACCACGGCCAAUAUUCCUGAUGGGGCUU